rnacentral:lncRNA from 1 species
UUCAUAGGUGGCCUGGAGAUACACAUCCAUCACCCUGUUAUCUGCUGACAUCUCUCUCCUGCAGGCUGAUGUAGAAGAUGGGCUUUUCUCUACUUGCGAGUGCUCAGAGGAAAGGCCAUGGGAGGACACAGCAGCUGUCUGAGAGCCAGGAAGAGCACCCUCGCCAGAAACCAAGCCCUGCUGGAUCUUGAUCUGGGACUUCCAGCCUCCAGUACUAUGAGAAAUAGAGUUCUUUUGUUUAAGCCACUUCUGUGGCUUUCUGUCCUGGCAGCCCCAGCCAACAAAGGGCCAAUCUCUUUCCAUCUGGAUUUCUCAGCUGUGAGCCAGGCCCAAGAUGGGUGGGAGGUACCAUCUCCUCAUUGGCAGGGCUGGAACGAGGCACACCAGUGGCUAUCUCCAAAGAAAUAUUUUAAUCACCA